UGGGGAAUAUUGGACAAUGGGCGCAAGCCUGAUCCAGCAAUGCCGCGUGAGUGAUGAAGGCCUUCGGGUCGUAAAGCACUUUUGUCCGGAAAGAAAUCCUUGGCUCUAAUACAGUCGGGGGAUGACGGUACCGGAAGAAUAAGCACCGGCUAACUACGUGCCAGCAGCCGCGGUAAUACGUAGGGUGCAAGCGUUAAUCGGAAUUACUGGGCGUAAAGCGUGCGCAGGCGGUUUGCUAAGACUGAUGUGAAAUCCCCGGGCUCAACCUGGGAACUGCAUUGGUGACUGGCAGGCUAGAGUAUGGCAGAGGGGGGUAGAAUUCCACGUGUAGCAGUGAAAUGCGUAGAGAUGUGGAGGAAUACCGAUGGCGAAGGCAGCCCCCUGGGCCAAUACUGACGCUCAUGCACGAAAGCGUGGGGAGCAAACAGGAUUAGAUACCCUGGUAGUCCACGCCCUAAACGAUGUCAACUAGUUGUUGGGGAUUCAUUUCCUUAGUAACGUAGCUAACGCGUGAAGUUGACCGCCUGGGGAGUACGGUCGCAAGAUUAAAA
rnacentral:rRNA from 1 species